GAAAGAAGAUGAGAGCCAAAGGCAACAAAACCAGAUACAAAAAUAGGAGAAAGUAACUUAUUAAUUUGGUGACUGUACAUUUGUUUUAUUGCUUGAUUUAUAUUCUU
rnacentral:ribozyme from 1 species